rnacentral:rRNA from 1 species
UACGUAGGGCGCAAGCGUUAUCCGGAAUUACUGGGCGUAAAGCGCACGUAGGCGGCUUUGUAAGUAAGAGGUGAAAGCCUGGAGCUCAACUCCAGAAUAGCCUUUUAGACUGCAUCGCUUGAAUCAUGGAGAGGUGAGUGGAAUUCCGAGUGUAGAGGUGAAAUUCGUAGAUAUUCGCAAGAACACCAGUGGCGAAGGCGGCUCACUGGCCCGGUACUGACGCUGAGGUGCGAAAGCGUGGGGAGCAAACAGG